UUUAAAAAUUAAUUUGAUAAAAUACAAUGCCUCAAUAAGAAUUUAAAGGGUGCUUAAGUGUUACUUUUAGUUCAUAAAAUUCAACUAAUUGAAAAGAAAGAAAAAGUGGGGUGUCAUGUUAAAAGAUUCCAAGCUAUAUCAUGUAAAAAUUAAACAAAAUUUUUAUUUUUAGAAAAAAGUGUGGUAGCAUGUAAAAGAUUCCAAUAUAUAUCAUGUAAAAAUUAAAGUUUUUAUUUUUGGUAGUAAAAUAAAAAAAAAUUAAAAAUACGGACACCAAAAUAAAAAACCAUGAAAGGGUAAAAUGAUCACAACGCUGUUGUUAAACAUCAAGCUACACUUUAUUGCAAAAUAAAAUUGUUUCAAG
rnacentral:misc_RNA from 1 species